rnacentral:misc_RNA from 1 species
UGAUGAAGAACGUAGCGAAAUGCGAUAAGUAAUGCGAAUUGCAGAAUCCGUGAGUCAUCGAAUCUUUGAACGCACAUUGCGCCCCUUGGUUAUUCCGAAGGGCAUGCCUGUUCGAGCGUCAUUAUCACCCCUCAAGCCCUGGCUUGGUGUUGGACUUUAGUUAUAGCUUUGCCUAUCAACUGGUCUCAAAGAUAGUGACGGCGCCCCAGAGGGAACCGGGUACGAGGAGCUUUUUACUAAGCAUGUAUCUGGGACGACUCUGGGCGACGGUCUUGUUAUACUUUUUACCUAAGUGUUGACCUCGGAUCAGGUAGGAAUACCCGCUGAACUUAAGCAUAUCAAUAAGCGGAGGA